GAGAAUGUGCCCAGUGCUCCUGAUCCUCCAAGUCAGCAUUUACGUGGGCAUGGAACAGGCUUUUGCUUUGAUUCCAGCUUUGAUGUUCACAAGAAGUGUCCCCUCUGUGAAUUAAUGUUCCCUCCCAACUAUGAUCAGAGCAAAUUUGAAGAACACGUUGAAAGUCACUGGAAGGUGUGCCCCAUGUGCAGCGAGCAGUUCCCUCCUGACUAUGACCAGCAGGGCUUUGAAAGGCAUGUGCAGACCCAUUUUGAUCAGAAUGUUUUAAAUUUUGACUAGUUACUUUUUAUUCUGAGUUAGUAAUACAAUUUAGCAAUUAAAAAAAAAAAUCACCUCAAAUAGACCACUAUGGAGACCACAAGGUAUCAUUUCCGCACACCCUCUCUCUGCCAUUCUUUUUUGAACAAGUGCUACUUUUGAGUUUCAUGUUUGUUACUAGGGUCAGGGUCUGUCUGUAGCUUAUCAGUAAAUAAAAUUGUAACCCCUGUUAAUUUUACCAGCUUAAGAAAAGUUUUUCUGUGUUUGUAUCUUUAUUUAUUCCCAUUUGCAAAAGUAUAUGAAUAAAGGAGAUGGAUUAUUUUAAUGUUACAGGCUGAAAAAAUAUAUAUGUAGUGUGUCAUUUAGCAUAUUUAGAAGUUUCUGUUGACCUCGUUGAUUGAGCAUGACUACUAAAUAUUAUGUAACAAAAGUAAUUCAUCAUUAGUCUUGCAAAUUCGUUGAAUACAGAAGCUUCCAUAAUUUAGCCCGUGAAAGGAUGGUUUUUUCACUUUCUUUAGAAAUGGAAAUGCAUGUAGAAUGAGCUCACAUGCUUGCAGUAUAGCACAUACCUUUUUAUAUUUAAAAUGUUGCUUUAGGAUUAGAAGGCAUAUUUUGCUAAUUUUAUGACUAAAACAUUUUAGAAUGACCUGAAUAAUUAUUUUUAAGCCAUCUUGAAGUUGUAUUUCUACCUAAUGGGAAAAUGGAACAAGAUAGGUUAGUGCAAUUGUUUCAUACUAAAUGAUCUACUAAAUGGUGGUGUUGGUGGCAUAAAAUCACAGAAAAUGUAUCCAUAUCUUUUUCACAUUUUCUUGAUUAAAAAUGUGAUGUAUAAACACAAAUCAAUGUGUUAUAUCUCUGUAUAGUAUUCUCAUUAACAUUAAAGAGGACACAUUUUUUUGGA